rnacentral:misc_RNA from 1 species
AAAUAAAUCAAAAGCAAUUGCUGUGGUGUUUCAUUAAUGAAGGUAGAUUUGAACAAUAAAUAAAUGAGAGAGAAUAGAAUAGAACCAGACGUUGCCCAACACCCAACAUGGCAACAUCAAUGAGCUGGUUGAGAAAUGAGAAAGGGUCUUGGGCAAGUGGCUCAGAGCACUAGGCCUUGGGCUUUCCCCCCUUUCUAUCCUUCGAUUAUCUAACGCUUGACUUUUGUUUUUCAUUUUUUUGAUGUGAUGCUUACCUACUCAGUUUUGUUUUCAAAUCUCAUAACCAAAACCCUAUUUCCCAUAAAAAUAAUAAUAAGAAAAACCUAAAUUCAUAUAUCUACUAUAAUUCUGUUCUAGUGGAUUUGCAGGCACUCUGCCAGUAUAGAAUUUUACAAUGGAACAAAAAUUCUUAGAAGGUAUUAUGUAUGCAACAAAGUUUUUGCAAUGGGUGUGAUGUUUUUCGUGGAUUCUAAUGAUAAGCGUAGGUAUGUUAAUAUCUAGAAUUGUUUUCUAGUUGGUCCAGUGUCUCUUUCAUUCAACAAACUAUAGCCUACCCAAUAAAGCUACGAUGGAUGAAUAACAGUGUAUUUCAUUUUCAAAGCCGCAUAAGAUUCAUCUCUAAAAUUAAUAAUAAUAAUAAUAAUCAUUGGUGCAUAGUUAGGCACUUUGGCUACUUCAUAGAAGAUAAAAGUGCAAGCUUCAACUCAUAUUGAGUGGUAUUAGUAUCACCUGUAUUUGAGCAUUUGUUUGUAUAGUGAAAGUUAAGACAAUUUAUUCUCAACUAUAUUUUCUACAAUGUGUGACCUUGAACUUUUACUUAUGGGUGUUUCAGUUUUCAGUUUGUGUCUGCCUUAGAACCCAAACUGAACCGAACUUUCGGUAGGGUUGUAUUCCAAUUCUUUGAUAUUUUGGUUUUGAUUUGAUUUGAUUUUUGGUGCUUCGAUUCCAGUUGGGUUCAG